GCAUAUCAAUAAGCGGAGGAAAAGAAACUAACAAGGAUUCCCCUAGUAACUGCGAGUGAAGCGGGAUGAGCUCAAAUUUGAAAUCUGGCGGUUCCGCCGUCCGAGUUGUAAUCUGGAGAAGCGUUUUCCGUGCCGGACCGUGUACAAGUCCCUUGGAACAGGGCGUCAUAGAGGGUGAGAAUCCCGUCUUUGACACGGACUCCCGGUGCUCUGCGAUGCGCUCUCGAAGAGUCGAGUUGUUUGGGAAUGCAGCUCAAAAUGGGUGGUAAAUUCCAUCUAAAGCUAAAUAUUGGCGAGAGACCGAUAGCGAACAAGUACCGUGAGGGAAAGAUGAAAAGCACUUUGGAAAGAGAGUAAAACAGUACGUGAAAUUGUUGAAAGGGAAACGCUUGAAGUCAGUCGCGUCUUCUGGGACUCAGCCUUGCUCUGCUUGGUGCAUUUCCCAGUUUGACGGGUCAGCAUCGGCUCUGGGGGGCGGACAAAGGCGCGGGGAAGGUGGCAGCUCCGGCUGCGUUAUAGCCCCGCGUUACGCGUCCCCCGGGACCGAGGAAUCCGGCGCUCGCGCCUGGGAUGCUGGCGUAAUGGCUUUAAACGACCCGUCUUGAAACACGG
rnacentral:rRNA from 1 species